rnacentral:lncRNA from 1 species
ACUGUUGUUUAGGAUAAGGCUAAAGAAGGUGCUGUGUACAGUAAGCAAGUGUGUUUAAAGAUAAAUAUUAAGUAAAUCACACAGAAAUGACAAAAAUCUGUGCGGAGGAUGGACUCAUAACUAAUUUUUAGAAAGCAGGAGCUCAACAAGAGAGAGAAAUGUGUAUCCACAUGUGCUCCUCAUGGGGAGAAGGGAGGGGAAUUACUGCUGGCUUUGAGGACAAGGAAGGCCCCAGAGAGGAAGUGGCAUGUGCCCUCAAGGAUGUCUAGGAGUUUUUGCAAACUUACAUCAAGUAGAGACCACCCCAUGAGGAGGAAAAGGUGCACCAAGACGCACAAGUGACUGACGUAGACAGGGCCCAAGGAGCAGAAAUGGGGUGAAUGCUGAACAGUAGGUCUGUAAUUGCAUGAUGGGGAGUUAAGAAGUGGAUUUUGUUCUUUUAGCCAUUGUAACCUCUGCAGAUAAGAUAUCAAAAAGAGCUUUCCUCCUAGCAGAGAUCUUCAUAGAGAGGGUGAGAUCAAUUCGUGGAUCAGGAGAUUGAUUUGCUGAAAUAUGGCUGGCAUUUAAAAUAAUGACAGACAGUACUUCAUCUCAGAGUGCAUCUUCUGGAUUAAGCACAAGCAGUGAAUGGUGAAACUUUGUUACCUAAGUGUGUGUUGAGUCAUGAUGUAAAGUGGGUCAGAAAAGUCUGAAACUAGUUGUUCCUGUGUGAUGAGACUUUCAGCCACUGCAGACCUUCACGAACAAUCUGUUUCUGGUCACCUCUCAAGACAGUGCAUACAGAGGUCACACGUAUAGGUUUUACUCUGACCUUUGCUUUGCCCAUCAAACCAUUUUCCAGUCUUUCAGGCUUCAGUGAAGAGGUGUCAACCAUUGACAGAGGAUGUGGGGUGUUUCCCAGUUGAGGGUGAGGCCAGUCUGAGUCGUGACCCUUUGCUGAUCAGGUUGACCAGUUGGGAGACUGCGCUAACCCGGGCCGCGUUACUUGUGAUGGGGCUGUGUGUGGCAGGGUGGUGCUGAGGCCCCAUGCUCCUCAUGGCCGUCUUGGAAUAGUGACAGCAUCUGAAGUUCCUGGCACGAAGGGCGUGUGGGAUGGUGCAGAAUCAAGGCUGUGCAGGAGGAUGUGGGAUGGUGCCACUUCAAAGUAAAAGGCAUGGCUUUGGCGACACACAUUUAAAUGAGCUGUGGGAAAAUAGGCACACAGCAGCUAUUUUUAAUUCAUGUUAAAACUUUCAGAGCCAGAGUUGCUCAUAGGUACUGGCUUCGGAUGUUGGAGAGGAAGGCUUUCUCAGCUGACCGCUAACUUCCUUGGUGACAGCAAGAAGGUGGGAAAGAGCCCAGGGAAAGUGGCAGGUAGCAGGGCCGGCCCGUUUUUCACUGUUUUAUCAUCACUCUCUCCAGACUCAGUUCAGCUUUGAGGUUUCCAGCCUUGUUCCUGUCCACACCACCCUCAGUCAGCUCCUUCAUGUAAUACUUCUCCUUCCCUUAAGGCCUGCUCUCAGGAAAAGAUCUAGAUGUCCCUUUCUUUGUAGACUGAUAGUAGCUUGAAUUCACCUUUACAGAAGUGUUUGUACUCUAGUGAGGCUGUUUCUCAACGCAAGGGGGGAGGCCUGAGCUGGACUCUGGCGUUAGUCUGCAGGUAUGGCCUCUUUCUGGGCAGGGGUCUUCCUGGCCCAGUGAAAGCAGAGUGUAUAGGCGGCUACCUUUCUGCGUUUUGUUUUAAUUUUUUGGCCACACCCAUGGCAUUUGGAAGUUCCCAGGCCAGGGAUUGAACCUGUGCCACAGUAGUGACAAUGCCAGAUCCUUAACCACCAGGCCACCAAGGAACUCAGCAUCAGGUUUUUAAAGCUGGGGAGAACCUGGUUAAGUUUUAUUCUCUUAGAGAUAAAGAAACUGAGACCCAAAGGGAUGAAAUCCUUCUCAAUGUGGCACUCGACUGCUGCAGCUGAUCAGCAUGCCAUGCAAGGUCAGCUUUGCCAUACUUAUUUGUUAAGGCUGGCAGAGGCAUUUCUCUUCUCUCUCUCUCUCUUUUAACAUUAGGAGGCCGUGGAAUCUACUCAAGCAGCUGGAAAAGCAGCAAAGUAUUCAUUUUAGACUCAUUUAGAGAAGCAAGCUGGGAAAUGCUUGGGCUGCUCCUUGCAACAAAUUUGGAUCCUCUUAAAAGCUUGUCUAAGCUUUAGCAUAUCCCCGUAGUGGGAAGUCUUUAAUAUUCACUGACGCAAGGAGGAGGUUUUGACCCUUCAAAUGUCACCGUACUUUUAACCGUAUAACGUAUAACCAAAUAACAAAGUAAAAAUACCUCCAAGUAAAGGGGAAUUAUUUGAGGUUCAAGUUUAGGGGACCAGCUGCUUUGGUGAAAUAAUCCACUCUGCGUUUUAGACUCUCUGGAAAAGAGACAUGAGGGAUGGGGGCAUUAGAGGUCUGCAAGUCCGAGCCCUACAGUCCACUGCUCUGCCUGGGUUCUCUUGGGAGAUGACUCAGGAGCUGGUCAGGGACCUUGGGCAGAGAACUGGUGAGAGGCACAGAUCACCUGUGCUGGGGUGUCAGCCCUUACUAGCUGAGGGAAGACAGGCAAGUUAAUUGACCUCCCUGUGCCUCAGUCUCCUGAUCUGUAAAAUGGGGACCGUAAUAGUAUCUCCUUCCCAGAGUUGUUAUGAAGAUGAAUGGAAAUGCACAUUAAAGCACCCAGCAGCUGACAUAUAACAAGCUCAAAUAAAGGUUAGAUGUCAGUGGCAGUGCUGUCUAAGGCUGCAUUAAUUAGUUUAAAAUUGAAGCCACUUUCGAAUCUUACUGCUCCUAAGAUAGCUAAAAGGCAGUCUUUUUUUAGGCUUCAGUUUAUUAUGAGCUUGAAAGUUCCUGGCAGAAUCACCCAGGCCUUUUUUUUUUUUUUUUUUUUUUUUUUGACUCUUCUUCCCAUGGUUAUGUGAUGAUCUUGUUACACACAAGAAAAAGAUUGCUUUCACAAUCUAGAUUCACCGGAGAACUCCCUAUAGCCUCCCCCUUUCCUCUUCAUCAGGAGGAUCCACCAUGAGAGUCCCUAUAUCUCAACCCGGAGAACUCCUCAAUCCUCUGGAGUUGCUCUUUUCGAAUCUUCAAACCCAGGAUCUUAGCUGUCUAUUUUCUGAAGCUGUAGAGACAGCCACUCAAGGAACAGAUUUUCUAGAGGAUACUUUAUUCAAUUAGUUAGUCAAUUCCCUUGUAGAUGGGAAAUUAUCCCUAAACCAUCCCCACCAACCGAGGAGCCUCUACAGUGAGAAGCAAAGAUGAUGUUGAGAUGUAACAAUAGGAUACCUCAUUUGCAAUGCAAAUGAGCAACCAGCAGGCAAAUAAACCCUUAUGGGAAAACCACUCUAAUCAUAAAAACCCCUUGCUUUGGGGAGACUGCAGUGUAAGGACAAACAGAAUCAUAUCUUCCAGGCUCUUCUCCAAUACAGGAUAUUAAAGAAUUAUCCAGGUAGUUCUCUAUGAAAUUGCAUUUGAAUAUGGCAAAAUGCAUUGCUGGACAAUAGAUAAUAUCUUUAAAACUCCAUAAUUGUGGACUGAAUUAUUUAUGGUUGUCACUAUAGCUAUCAUAGUUUGGAAAUAAAAUCGUCAGGCUUUUCUCUGUUUUUAUUUGUAGGAAAACAAGUCAUUCAAGCUUUUUAGUGAUACAAUGUGACUGGCUGUCGAUGGCAGUUACAAUUUUUCAAGCCCUGCCAAGCACAGGAGUACCCAGAAGGGACAUAUGUUUUCUGUGCUUUGUGUUCCAAAUUCGCUUUAAAAACAUGCGAUUAUGUGAAGGCCUGAUUUAUAUUUCCAAGGAAAAGCACAAUAAUGGCUGUUUUGUAGCUGUGUUUCUCGAAAACGUGUUUCUAUUGCUGCCUUUUCAAAAGAAUUUGGCUAAUGAUCACUGGAUUUUCACUUUCCGUCAUGACGUAUUAAAAUUUGAUGAGGUCUGUGAAAUUUAAGAACUGAUUUCUUAAGUGCAGUGGAAAUGUAGUUAACAUCGUUUGGUACUGCAACCCUGGAAACAUCUUCUGUGGCUACCUUUAAUCCACUUCCUUAUUUUUGUGGACAAUGGGAGAAGAAGAAGCAGGGGUAUUUGUAGCCAGGAGGCAAAGAGGGGAUAGAAUGACCAGGAUAACAAAGAGCAAACCUUGGAAGGUACGUAGGCCUAUAGGUAUGCAUGAGUGUAAGUAGAAGACAAGGUGUUGCGGACAUUUCCAGGGGACAGAGGGAUGACUCUGGAGAGGAAAGGAAAUUGUGAAGGAGGAAAGUGAGGAGUUUUGGUCACAUUUUAUGCUCAACUGAAAAUUGCUGUAAAGCCCUUUAUAAAUUGUAUAAUCACUGGCUUUGAAUUCAUGCCCUUCGUUGCUAUUAUUAAUGAUGGCUUUCACUCCACUCUCUCAGAAGCAUUUCUAGUAAAUUUAUGAAAAGAAGAUGAAUUAGUCUCUUUCUGGACUGGGGAGCCCCUCCUGGGAGGUCAACAAUUUUUUUACUUGUUCUUUUUUAGUAAUGGAGGUGGAGAAAGGUGAAAGGCCAAUUUCACCUAAUAAAGGAGUUCAUGAACAAAUAAUGAUCAUAGUAUGGAAUUUCAGGGUAUUUCAAAGCUAAGAGAAAAAUAUUAGGGGGCAGCGAAAAGAUAGAAGUUGGAGUUCCUACCAUGACACAGUAGGUUAAGAAUCCAAGUUCAAGAGUUCCUGUUGUGGCGCAGUAGAAACCAACCCAACUAGUAAAACCAUGAGGAUGCAGGUUCAAUCCCUGGCCUUGCUCAGUGGGUUAAGGAUCUGGUGUUGCCAUGAGCUGGGGUUGUAGGUCGAAGACUCAGCUCGAUUUCUGCAUUAAUGUGGCUGUGGUGUAGGGCAGCAGCUGUGGCUGCAAUUCGACCCCUAGCCUGGGAACCUCCAU